UCGGGAUUAUCUAGGAUGGAAAAUACAUUAACUUCCUGUAGGCUUCUGGAUUAGUCAAGUCUGAGGAGUAAUAAAUAUACAAGUGGUUUGGCAACAGUGGGAGUGCAGAAUCAUGUGCUAUAAAAGGGAGGUAGCAUCGUAUGGUCUUUAUGAUAUGAUGAAUAUGAUGUCUGGUUGCCGAUAGCCGGAGACAAAGGUCAGGGAAGAGCACAGAAUCAGUGGCUAGUGCAAAAUCUUCUUGGCAGUGACCACUGAUAAUGAUUUCAAAUUUCUGAGUACUUAACUGAAAGAAUCUCGCCUCAAACAAGUCUGAAUGUUGGGUUGACAGCCUGAUACCCAGUGAGGGCUGGAUAGACAAGAUAGUGCAGUGAAGCUGGGCGUUUCAAGUGAAGUUACAGAGGAAAAGCGCGUCAAGGAGAAUUAGCAACUUAAGACUGAGAAACAGAGUUAUAAAUAAUGCAAAGUAAAGAUAACACCAAGGAUAAAAGGAAACUUCUUGUGGUCCCAGAAGAAACUACCAAUAUAUUGAAUCUAGACUUUCAUUCCCUAUCAGCAAGACUGGGCUGACUAUAGAACAAAGACACGAUGUUCUGAAAGGGUGAAAAGUACUGUAUGGAGCAGCUGAAGAAUAUUUAUGUAAUGUGAGAUGCUGUCUUGAAAAGCUAUUUAGAAGUCUGUCAAAUAAACAAUAAUUAACAAUAUACAUAAUUUGAUUUGAUAUGUUCUACAUUAAAAUUUUAGCAGUUGUAUAUUUGGAAAUAUCAUUAAAAAUUUAAUAUUUUUGAAUACAAUUGCUGUAUUUCAGAUAA